CUCUGCUGGUCCAGGCAGGCGACAUGUCAAUGCUUUUAGCAAUGUCCCUGCCUCUAUCUCAGAAGCCAUGGAGGAAAUAAGGUAGCCCCCGUCCUUGGAUUGGAUCGGAUGGGGGAGCCCAGUUCAAUGGAUGCAAAAUAUAAGGAUGACUUAUUUCGGAAGUACGUGCAGUUCCAUGAAGGCAAAGUGGGUACCACCCCCAGCAAGCAGCGGCCUGGCAGUGAUGAGUCCCUGCGGGUGGCAGCCUCGACCCUGCUCAGCCUGCACAAGGUGGAUCCCUUUGAUCGAUUCCGGCUGAUCCAGUUCUAUGAGGUGGUGGAGAGCUCUCUGCGCUCACUGAGCUCCUCCAGUCUGCGGGCUCUGCACUGUGCCUUCAGUGUGCUCGAAACGGUGGGUGUCAACCUUUUCCUCUACCCGUGGAAGAAGGAAUUCAGAAGCAUCAAGACCUACACGGGCCCCUUUGUUUAUUACGUCAAGUCCACAUUACUGGAAGAGGACAUCCGAGCCAUCCUGAAUUACAUGGGCUACGUGCUCAAGUUGGGGACUGCGUACAAGCUCAAAGAGCUGGUAGAGACCCUCCAAGUGAAGAUUGUCUCCUUUGAACUCUUUCUGGCCAAGGUGGAGUGUGAACAGAUGCUAGGAAUCCACUCCCACGUCAAGGACAAAGGCUACUCUGAGCUGGACGUGGUGAGCGAGCGCAAGAGCAGUGCGGAGGAUGUGCGAGGCUGCUCAGAUGCCCUGCGGCGGCGGGCUGAGGGCCGGGAGCACCUGACAACCUCCAUGGCCCGCUUAGUGCUCCAGAAGUUGGCCAGCGAGCGGGCAGCCAAGGACUACUACAAGCCCCGUGUGACCAAGCCUUCAAGGUCGGUGGACACCUAUGACAAUUACUGCGAGAGCCGGAAGCCGCCCCUGAAGACCUUGUUGAGCUUGCGGAAGGAGCCUGUGGCAGCAGACUUGGGGGACGACCUCAAGGACAAGCUCAUCCGCCCGUUCCCCUCGCUCCUGACCAUGUCCAGCUCCCCCCACGGCAACCCGGAUAACCUGCCAUCCCCCUCCCCCAACAUGGCCUUGGCUUCCUGCGUGGCACGUACUUCUCCGCUCAGGAGGAUGUGGAUCUGUACACAGACUCAGAGCCCAGGGCCGCGUACCGGAGGCAGGAUGCCCUGCGACCAGAUGUCUGGCUGGUCAGAAAUGACGCCCACCCCAUCUACCACAAACGCUCGCCCCCCGCCAAAGAGUCCGCCCUCUCCAAGUGCCAAAACUGCGGUCUGUCCUGCAGCUCCUCCCUCUGCCAGCGCUGCGACAGCCUGCUCGCCUGCUCCCCGGCCUCCAAGCCUAGCGGCUUUCCCAGCAAGGCCUCCGCCCACGACAGCCUGGCCCAUGGGUCAUCUCUGCGGGAGAAGUAUGCAGGCCAGACGCAGGGCCUCGACCCGCCGCUGCCCCUCCACUCGAAAUCCAAGCCCUCCCCUGUAGCCGCCUCCCGCUGUGGCUUCUGUGACCGCCCAGGGACCGCCAACACCUGCACGCAGUGUUCGGAAGCCUCUUGCGACGCCUGCCUCAGCACCUACAAUUACGACCCCUGCUGCAAAAAGAGCGAGCUGCACAAGUUCAUGCCCAGCAACCAGCUGAACUACAAGUCCUCCCAGUUCUCCCGUCUCGUGUACAGAUAGACUUGACCUUGCAUCUCCCUGCUACAAGGGCUACACCACUGACAUUUCUGGUUUCAUGGGGAAGAAAUGUUAAUGCGCUGAUCUCAGAAGCAGAGGCCUGCACUUGACCACGUGGUUGUGGGGGCGGGGGGCAACGUGGGAGUUCCUGUAUCGACUCAGAUAUGUCAGCUGAUGGCUGCUUUGCCAUC